UACGUAGGUGGCAAGCGUUGUCCGGAUUUAUUGGGUUUAAAGGGUGCGUAGGCGGCCCUGUAAGUCAGUGCUGAAAUAUCCCGGCUUAACCGGGAGGGUGGCAUUGAUACUGCAGGGCUUGAGUGAAGUCGAGGUAGGCGGAAUUGACGGUGUAGCGGUGAAAUGCUUAGAUAUCGUCAAGAACACCGAUAGUGAAGACAGCUUACUAGGCUUAUAUUGACGCUGAGGCACGAAAGUGUGGGGAUCAAACAGG
rnacentral:rRNA from 1 species